UACGGAGGGGGCUAGCGUUGUUCGGAAUCACUGGGCUUAAAGGGCGCGUAGGCGGGCUGCCGCGUCCGGGGUGAAAUCCCACGGCUCAACCGUGGAACGGCCUCGGAUACGGGCGGCCUCGAGGGGGGUAGGGGCAUCUGGAACUGUGAGUGGAGCGGUGAAAUGCGUUGAUAUUCACAGGAACUCCGGUGGCGAAGGCGAGGUGCUGGACCCCUUCUGACGCUGAGGCGCGAAAGCCAGGGGAGCGAACGGG
rnacentral:rRNA from 1 species